rnacentral:rRNA from 1 species
UACGAAGGGUGCAAGCGUUAAUCGGAAUUACUGGGCGUAAAGGGUGCGUAGGCGGUUGUUUAAGUCUGUCGUGAAAUCCCCGGGCUCAACCUGGGAAUGGCGAUGGAUACUGGGCAGCUAGAGUGUGUCAGAGGAUGGUGGAAUUCCCGGUGUAGCAGUGAAAUGCGUAGAGAUCGGGAGGAACACCAGUGGCGAAGGCGGCCUUCUGGACCAAUACUGACGCUCAUGCACGAAAGCGUGGGGAGCAAACAGG